rnacentral:misc_RNA from 1 species
GGGGCCUCGGCGAUGCGGGUGGCCCACGCGACGAGCAUGAUGAGGGACCCAGCGGCGAGGGAGAGGGUGGAGGUGAGCCAGGGGAAGGGGAAGGCGUUGAGAACCUUCUUGUUGUAGAUGUUGAACACGACGUUGAGAGCCCACCAGGUCGCGAAGUAGAUCCCGAUCUUGACCUUCUGCGCGGCCGCCGCAGCCGUUGCGGCGGUGUCGGGGGCGAUCGGGGCGACGUCUGACGCGUCUGCCUCGAAAGCGC